CAGCCGCCGCGGUAAUUCGUAGGGCGCGAGCGUUGUCCGGAAUUAUUGGGCGUAAAGAGCUUGUAGGCGGUUUGUCGCGUCUGCUGUGAAAGGCCGGAGCUUAACUCCGUGUAUUGCAGGGGGUACGGGCAAACUAAAGUGCAGUAGGGGAAACUGGAAUUCCUGGUGUAGCGGUGGAAUGCGCAAAUUUCAGGAGGAACACCGAUGGCGAAGGCAGGUCUCUGGGCUGUAACUGACGCUGAGAAGCGAAAGCAUGGGGAGCGAACAGGAUUAGACACCCUGGUAGUCCAUGCCGUAAACGUUGGGCACUAAGUGUGGGAGACAUUCCACGUUUUCCGCGCCGUAGCUAACGCAUUAAGUGCCCCGCCUGGGGAGUACGGCCGCAAGGCUAAAACUCAAAGGAAUUGACGG
rnacentral:rRNA from 1 species